ACGCUGGCGGCGUGCCUAAUACAUGCAAGUCGGACGGGGUUGCACAGUCGUAAGACCAUGCAACCUAGUGGCGAACGGGUGAGUAACACGUAGGCGACCUGCCCCGGAGAGGGGGACAACGGCUCGAAAGGGCUGCUAAUACCCCAUAAUCUCAUAGGACUUAGAAACUUAUGAGGAAAGGAGCGAUCCGCUCGGGGAGGGGCCUGCGGCCCAUCAGGUAGUUGGUGAGGUAACGGCUCACCAAGCCGAAGACGGGUAGGGGGCCUGAGAGGGUGGUCCCCCACACGGGCACUGAGAGACGGGCCCGACUCCUACGGGAGGCAGCAGUAAGGGAUAUUGCGCAAUGGGCGGAAGCCUGACGCAGCAACGCCGCGUGUCCGAGGAAGGCCUUCGGGUCGUAAAGGACUUUUGGGGCUGAAGAGCGAGGACGGUAAGCCCCGAAUAAGUGUCGGCUAACUACGUGCCAGCAGCCGCGGUAAAACGUAGGACGCGAGCGUUAUCCGGAGUUACUGGGCGUAAAGGGCAGGUAGGCGGACUGGCAAGUGAGGUGUGAAAUCUCCCAGGCUCAACCGGGAGGGGGCACCUGAGACUGCCGGACUAGAGGGCAGCAGAGGCGCGUGGAAUUCCGGGUGGAGUAGUGAAAUGCGUAGAGAUCC
rnacentral:rRNA from 1 species